rnacentral:rRNA from 1 species
GAACGGUAACAGGAAGCAGCUGGCUGCUUCGCUGACGAGUGGCGGACGGGUGAGUAAUGUCUGGGAAACUGCCUGAUGGAGGGGGAUAACUACUGGAAACGGUAGCUAAUACCGCAUAAUGUCGCAAGACCAAAGAGGGGGACCUUCGGGCCUCUUGCCAUCGGAUGUGCCCAGAUGGGAUUAGCUAGUAGGUGGGGUAACGGCUCACCUAGGCGACGAUCCCUAGCUGGUCUGAGAGGAUGACCAGCCACACUGGAACUGAGACACGGUCCAGACUCCUACGGGAGGCAGCAGUGGGGAAUAUUGCACAAUGGGCGCAAGCCUGAUGCAGCCAUGCCGCGUGUAUGAAGAAGGCCUUCGGGUUGUAAAGUACUUUCAGCGGGGAGGAAGGCGGUGAGGUUAAUAACCUCAUCGAUUGACGUUACCCGCAGAAGAAGCACCGGCUAACUCCGUGCCAGCAGCCGCGGUAAUACGGAGGGUGCAAGCGUUAAUCGGAAUUACUGGGCGUAAAGCGCACGCAGGCGGUCUGUCAAGUCGGAUGUGAAAUCCCCGGGCUCAACCUGGGAACUGCAUUCGAAACUGGCAGGCUAGAGUCUUGUAGAGGGGGGUAGAAUUCCAGGUGUAGCGGUGAAAUGCGUAGAGAUCUGGA